rnacentral:tRNA from 1 species
GAUCUUGUGAUGUAGUCGCGAUCACAUCUGUCUAACACACAGAAGGUCGGCGGUUCGAGUCCGCCCGAGAUCA